GAACUAAGACUUGCCUGGGCCUGCCCAGACAUGCCUGACUAAGACAAAGCAAGUAACUGGGCUAAAGUGUAAGAACUAAUAGUUGAUAGGAGGCUUUAGAGUAAGAAACUAUUAUUUCUGGUGUCUAUUAUUUUAUUUUUACACCAAGACAAGCUUUGAAGAGGAACUUUUCUACUUUCUACAAUUUCCUCUUCUUUUAUUUUAUAGUUCCUCUUCAAACUUGUUUAACAUGUCUUGGCUUAGUUGUUUUGAUUAACUCCUGGAUGUACAGUACAACAUAACACCUAAGAAGAAGGAGUAUACUUAUAGUUGAGUUUCCCUGAACAGGCCCUCUCUUUGCCUGCUGCCAUUCAUGAAAGACAUGACUUGCUCCUCCUCACCUUCUGCCAUGUUUGUGAAGCAUCCCCAGCCACAUGGAACUACGGAGCCUUACUAGUCACCCAGGAUGGAGGGCAGUGCUGCAAUCAUGAUCACGGCUCACUUCAGUCUUGAGCUCUCGAGGCUUAGGCGAUCCUCCCAUCUGUCUCCUGAAUAAUAGGGACUACAGGUGUUAGCCACCACACCUGGCUAAUUUUUGUAUUUUUUGUAGAGACGAAGUUUUGCCAUGUUGCCCAGGCUGGUUUCAAACUUCUGGACUCAAGUGAUUCGACUGCCUCAGCCUUCCAAAUUGCUAGGAUUACAGGAUGAGGCACCACUUCCGGACUUAUAUCCAUUUAUAGUAAACACAAGCAACAUUAUGACCCAAUAUUUUACUCCUAGAUUAUAUAGUUAAGAGUGUGUAUGUCAAUCAAAAGUAUAUGUUAGAGUACUCAUAGCAGCGUCUCAUAAUUCCAAAAUGUGGAAACAACUUUAAAAACUAGUAAAUAAAGAAGGUUUAAAUGAAGUGCAAUAGAUUUACAUAAUAGAGUUAUAUAUAUUUACAUUAUAGUUAUAUAUAAAUAAAAAUAAACAAGCUACUGAUAACACACAACAACAUUGCUGAACCUCACAGAUAUGUUGAAUGAAAGAACAGAAACACAAAGAGAGUAUUUAUAUAAUUCACCACAUAUCUCAAUGACAGAAAACACUAAUCUCCGAUAAUAAAAAAUGAGAACAGGAAUUACCUCUGGAAGGUACUGGGUGAGUUGGAACAGGAGGAGUCAUUUUUUGUUGAUGAAAACAUUCUAUAUCUCAAUGUGAGUAGUGGUUAAAUGGUUACAAACGUAUAAAUUUCAUUGAGUUAUAUGUUUAAGAUUUGUAUACUACACAUACGCUAUAGUCAAUUUUAAAAGAAUACUUUUUAAAAAGGAGAUAAAAAAGGGAUUUUUUUAAAUGAAAAAAGGAAAAGGAAAAGAAAUGAGAAAAAUUAAAAACUUUCAGGUAUCCCCUUCUAUUGAAUUCUAAUUAUCUAAAUGCUGAUGCUAAUGUAGAUAAACAUGGUAAGUCUCCUUCUGCUUUGAAAAUAUUCUUUUUCUGGCUUAUCUUCGUAUGCUAUUUAUUCCACACAGAUAUUUAAUUAUUCCACGACCUCAGUUAUUAGUCACAUGAAUAUAUAAAAAAGCAUGCCAAUCGGACAAUUUAGUACUAAACAAACUUCCUGAGCAACUAGAGUCCUGAACACAGUUUGCACCAUCCCUGCAUUGCAUCUGACAACCUGCAGAGUAAUCAGAUAGUUGCUUGUAUAGCUCAUGCAUGUGCAACUCAAAUGGACACUUUAUCAUUGUAUUUUAUUUCAUCCUCUUGAUUUAUUCAACACAGCAAUCCUAGCUAUCUGGUAGUCAUGGACCCCAAAGAGGAAAAUAGAAUGAUUGAGAGAACAUCUUUUUCUUUAUCUUUAUCUGGUAAAGCCUGUGACUGUUAACUCACUAUUGCCACCAGCUUCUUCUAAGAUCUCUGUUGCAUUGUAGGGUACAAGCCGGGGACAAUAUAAGCAUUUCUUUUUGCUUCCUCUUAUAAGAGUCACUAAGGUGAGAUUUGAAAUUUGGAGAGAAGACACCACAAUUCUGUUGAUUAAUUUUCAGGCAUAUACAUGAUCAGAGGGCUCAGGCAGGGAGCUAAGUAGUUUCUAAAGCAAUGCCUGAGAAUCACCAAUUUUGGUGCUUAAUGGAACAUAGACACUGGCAUCUGUGACCUUUGCUCCCCUAGACUUCCCUAGAGCCAAAGUAGGAACACCUCACCUAAGUAAGGGAAGACUUCCUAGAAGAAAGGACAUUUAAGUUGACAAAUAGAAUUGGCAUUAGUUUAAUAAAGUUGGAAACUGAAACAUUACAGGGGUCCUCUAGAAGAUAAAUAUAUCUAAUCUCUUCCCAAACAAUACCAAUUGAUUUAGAAAUAUCCUCAGAGAUAUGAGAAACAUUCUGUAAUAACACACAAGCCUGUAUAUUUCAAAAACAAUUCUUUCACAAGGAAGAAAUGUAUUUAAGACUGGAGUCAAUCUUGGAUCCAUUUGCACCAUGCCCAUAUUGCACUAAUAUAUUUAGACACGCUGACAGGUAAACUACCUCUUGGCCUCUCAACAGGACAUACUUUUAAACUCAUCUGUAUUGAAAGGUGCUAACAACUUAUUUAGUUAUUAUUAGCUACUGUGGCUUGAGUAUCAACUCCCUGCCUGGUACUGUGUUUGGCAUUUUGUGUUUGUUACUGGAUCUAAUGUUGCCCUCAAAACUGUCCUAUAAUAAGGCACCUAUUUCACCAAGAAACAAAGUUGAAGGAAACUAUACAACUUGCCAGUGGGCAUGCA